GAACAAGUACCGUGAGGGAAAGAUGCAAAGAACUUUGAAAAGAGAGUUAAAGAGUACCUGAAAUUGCUGAAAGGGAAGCAAAGGAAACCAGUGUUGUUCUCGCUUGUAUUUCCUCUGUCUCUUGGCAGGGGCGCUGUGAGCGUGCAUGGGCCAAAGUGGAUGUCAAUGAGCACUAAUGUCUCUCCAGAUGGAUGGAGUGUUGCUGUGUCAGUUGAUAUUCACGUUGUCAAAAUGGUUUUCUUUACCCCGUCUUGAAACACGGACCAAGGAGUCUAACAUAUGUGCAAGUACAAAGGUGGCAAACCUGCGUGCAUAAUGAAAGUAACAGUGGUUGGAUCCCUUCGGGGUGCAC
rnacentral:rRNA from 14 species